UGAAGAAGAAUCACAAUCGUUCACAGUGGUC
rnacentral:piRNA from 1 species